rnacentral:rRNA from 1 species
GAGGAAUAUUGCACAAUGGACGCAAGUCUGAUGCAGCAACGCCGCGUGGAGGAAGAAGGCCCUUGGGUCGUAAACUCCUUUUUUCAGGGAAGAGAAUGGACGGUACCUGAAGAAUAAGUCACGGCUAACUACGUGCCAGCAGCCGCGGUAAUACGUAGGUGGCAAGCGUUAUCCGGAAUUACUGGGCGUAAAGCGCACGCAGGCGGUCUUUUAAGUUUGACGUGAAAGCUCCCGGCUUAACUGGGAGAGGUCGUUGAAGACUGGGAGACUUGAGUUUAGGAGAGGGGUGUAGAAUUCCCGGUGUAGUGGUGGAAUGCGUAGAUAUCGGGGGGAAUACCAGUGGCGAAAGCGGCACCCUAGCCUUUGACUGACGCUCAUGUGCGAAAGCGUGGGGAGCGAA